UAGGGAAUCUUCGGCAAUGGGGGCAACCCUGACCGAGCAACGCCGCGUGAGUGAAGAAGGUUUUCGGAUCGUAAAGCUCUGUUGUAAGAGAAGAACGUGUGUGAGAGUGGAAAGUUCACACAGUGACGGUAACUUACCAGAAAGGGACGGCUAACUACGUGCCAGCAGCCGCGGUAAUACGUAGGUCCCGAGCGUUGUCCGGAUUUAUUGGGCGUAAAGCGAGCGCAGGCGGUUUAAUGAGUCUGAAGUUAAAGGCAGUGGCUUAACCAUUGUUCGCUUUGGAAACUGUUAAACUUGAGUGCAGAAGGGGAGAGUGGAAUUCCAUGUGUAGCGGUGAAAUGCGUAGAUAUAUGGAGGAACACCGGUGGCGAAAGCGGCUCUCUGGUCUGUAACUGACGCUGAGGCUCGAAAGCGUGGGGAGCAAACAGG
rnacentral:rRNA from 1 species